CAGUUGGCUAAAUCUUCAUAAUUCCUUGUUUUAAUUAUUUUGUAUUUUCAUUUAUAACCAUUAGAAGUGAUAUUAGAUAUGCCUUGCAAGUGUUUUUUGUGUGGUUUCUCUUAUAUUGUAGGAGGUGAAAUUAGUCUUCACAGACUUCCAUCGAAUCAACUUGAACGAGAAAAAUGGUUGCAGAGAAUUUCUUGGAACCGACCGAUGUUGGAAAAAAAAAAUUUUUCUUUGCUCAAAUCACUUCCCUGAGGAUUGCUUUCGACUAAUGAUCCUAUGAAAGAGGUUUAUACCAGGAAGUUUUCCUUCUCCUUCUGAAAUCAAAUUGGAAAUACCUCUAAUAUCUUCAUAUAAUAUAAAAAAAAUUGUUAGACCUACUCAGAAGGGAAUGGAACUAUUGAAGCACAGGACUUUACAGAAUCUGAUUCUAAAACACAAGAGAGAUUUGAGACUUCAGCUACUUUUAACUCUCCUUCAAAAUGUGCAUCUUCUAGCUCUAGUGACACUAAGAACCUAAGGCUUAUCCAAGGAGGUUUGCCUUUGGAAAUUAAAUUGGAAAUACCUCUGACUUACUCAGAAGGGAAUGGAAGUAUUGAAGAACAAGACUCUACGGAAUCUCUAUAUGAUUCUAAAAUAAAAUCUCCAUCAAAAAAAACAAUUGAGAUUUGACACUCCAAUUACCAAUGAUCCAGAAGAAACACUGACUUUAACCUCUCCUUCAAAAUGUGCAUCAUUUAGCUCUAGUGCCACUUCUUUCUCUGGGAAACGAAGAAUAUCAAAAACGUAGUCAAGACAGUUUUCUCAAAUCCCCGCUAUAUUGGAGACUAUUCACAUCGUCAUUUGGAAAACCCUAUGCUGCGAGAGAAAUACUUUAGGUUGUCUCCAAGAAUCCUGUCCAAUUUCAAGGUCAAAAAUAAAAUAUUGUGUGUGUCCAUCCUGAAGUCAAACAGCACCGAGUCAAAACUACAGUUGAGAAAAAUCUUGGGGUAUCUUUCCAAUGCCUAUCAAUUUGUAGUUGAUAUCUAUACUCAGGC